rnacentral:rRNA from 1 species
UACGGAGGAUGCAAGCGUUAUCCGGAAUGAUUGGGCGUAAAGCGUCCGCAGGCGGCAGUUCAAGUCUGCUGUCAAAGACCGGGGCUUAACUUCGGAAAGGCAGUGGAAACUGAACAGCUAGAGUAUGGUAGGGGCAGAGGGAAUUCCUGGUGUAGCGGUGAAAUGCGUAGAGAUCAGGAAGAACAUCGGUGGCGAAGGCGCUCUGCUGGACCAUAACUGACACUCAGGGACGAAAGCUGGGGGAGCGAAUGGG